rnacentral:rRNA from 1 species
AUGCUGACGAGGCCCUCCACCAGCACGUCGAACGCGCUCCUCCGCGGGCCGUCGCCGCCGCUGUCGUCAGCGCUCACGCUCGCGCCGCGAGGCAGCCCUUCGCUCGCCGCUGCCAGCGGCCCCGGGCGCGCCGACUCGGCGCACGCGGCGGCGAGGAGCAGCAGGCACGCGAGGAGCGCCGCGCGUGACCACCGCCGCUGCCUCCCCAUACGGCGCGGCCGAUCGAUCCACGGCCGGCGCGAGCGCGGCGCGGCGAGCACUCAAGCAAGCAAGCAAGCAAGAAGCUUAAGUAACAAGUGA